rnacentral:rRNA from 1 species
GAUCAUGGCUCAGGAUGAACGCUGGCGGCGUGCUUAACACAUGCAAGUCGAACGGGAAAUACUUUAUUGAAACUUCGGUGGAUUUAAUUUAUUUCUAGUGGCGGACGGGUGAGUAACGCGUGGGUAACCUGCCUUAUACCGGGGGAUAACAGCCAGAAAUGACUGCUAAUACCGCAUAAGCGCACAGAACCGCAUGGUUCGGUGUGAAAAACUCCGGUGGUAUAAGAUGGACCCGCGUUGGAUUAGCUAGUUGGCAGGG